UACGUAGGGUGCAAGCGUUGUCCGGAAUCAUUGGGCGUAAAGCGCGUGUAGGCGGCUCGAUAAGUCCGCUCUGAAAGUCCAGGGCUCAACCCUGGGAUGCGGGUGGAUACUGUCGGGCUCGAGUCCGGAAGAGGCGAGUGGAAUUCCUGGUGUAGCGGUGAAAUGCGCAGAUAUCAGGAGGAACACCAAUGGCGAAGGCAGCUCGCUGGGACGUGACUGACGCUGAGACGCGAAAGCGUGGGGAGCAAACAGG
rnacentral:rRNA from 1 species